GUCUCAAAUCAGGUAGGAUCACCCGCUGAACUUAAGCAUAUCAAUAAGCGGAGGAAAAGAAACCAACAGGGAUUGCCCUAGUAACGGCGAGUGAAGCGGGAAGAGCUCAUGUUGUAAAUCUCCAGCUUGCUGGCGAAUUGUAGUCUAAAGGUGCGUGCUCAGUCGUGGUCCCGGGCUAAGUCUGUUGGAAAACAGCAUCAUGGACGGUGACAAUCCGGUUCUUGCCUGGGGUCCCGCGGCGUACGAGCCGUUUCCGACGAGUCGUGUUGCUUGGGAUUGCAGCACUAAGUGGGUGGUAAAUUCCAUCUAAAGCUAAAUAUUGGUGGGAGACCGAUAGCGAACAAGUACCGCGAGGGAAAGAUGAAAAGAACUUUGAAAAAAGAGUCAAAGAGUGCUUGAAAUUGUCGGGAGGGAAGCGGAUGGGGGUCGGC
rnacentral:rRNA from 1 species